CUUUCAGCUUUGCACAAAGGCGAAGAAAUAGACACCGUCUGUGCCGGGAGGUGAAGGGAAAGGCGCGAAAACGGUGAACGACUGCAAACUGAGGUUGACCUCCAGCACCCGGCAGCUCCGUGUCGCCGCAUCACCAGUCGGUCGCUGCCGGGACUCUCACGACUGGCGUCGGCGGCACUGAACUCUCACAGCUCUGCCGCUGGCCUCGCUCAUCGCUUAUUUCGUCAUCCGUCGUUGAAAAAGUCACUUCAGAUUCUGAGUAGAUGCUCUGGAGGUUGUGGCAGCCUCUGCAUUCUGUUUCUUCAGCGGAAAGGAAAUCGCAAGGAAACGGUGCUAAAGAAGACGUGUCUACAGGUGAGCGCUAGGCCUGUUCGGAGGCUGUCGGCGGUGGGUCUCCAACGCACGUUCACUACAGGUACUACUUCGAACUUCUCUUUACUGCGAAACGCUGUCGGUUCCCGCAUCUCUUCAGCAGAGAAAGUGAUGCGCUUUUCCUCGCUCACCUGGGACAUGGGCAGAGAGCAGUUCACACCUGAGGACCUCAGUCAUGCGUCAGUGGGUAGAAACCUGCUGCAAGCGAGCACUAUCUGCAGAAACCCAGCAAUCAAGAGACAUCCAGCUUCAAUCUGAACGGCGCUACAGCGCAAAUUCUCGCUCAUGAAAACCGAAAACUGUCACUCAGCGUCUCCAAGACUUUAACCUGCCCUUUCAGCCAGCCUUAAACUAUGUUGUUGUUCUUGUGACAAUGAAUAACCUUUUUCUUUUCCCACAAAACUAUGCAACCCCCUUCUGGGCUCGUGAUGGGAAACAUCCGACUUUCUUCCUCAUUCAUCCUGUCCCCAUGUCCAGGUGCAACCGACUCAUUGGAUUCUGGCUCAAAGCCUGACUCACGUUCUGGUCAUUAUCAGACUUCCUGUUAAUGGAACACCAGCGAGCUCUGCCAUGGGUUCAACUUGGUGUGUGUUCUAUACAAACUGAUCUGUUUGAGCUUUAUUCCUUUACAUUUUGUCUAUCAUCCAAUUUCAAUGACCACUUCUUCUGAGCGGGGUUGUGAUGAACCAGAGCCUGUCCUGGAAGGAUUGGGUGCAAGGGGGUUGAGAGGGGGUGCACCCUGGAUGGGAUGCCAGUCCCUCAUAGCACUGUUCCCAUGUUUUGUCGAAAAAAAUUCUUAAAAUAAAAAAUAUUGUGCAUUACA
rnacentral:lncRNA from 1 species